rnacentral:misc_RNA from 1 species
GCAUGUGGUGUAAUUCGAUGCAACGCGAAGAACCUUACCUGGGCUUGACAUGUAUUUGACCGCGGCAGAAAUGUCGUUUUCCGCAAGGACAGAUACACAGGUGCUGCAUGGCUGUCGUCAGCUCGUGCCGUGAGGUGUUGGGUUAAGUCCCGCAACGAGCGCAACCCUUAUCGUUAGUUGCCAACACUUAGGGUGGGAACUCUAACGAGACUGCCUGGGUUAAUCAGGAGGAAGGCGAGGAUGACGUCAAGUCAGCAUGGCCCUUAUGCCCAGGGCUACACACGUGCUACAAUGGCCAGUACAGAAGGUAGCAAUAUCGUGAGAUGGAGCAAAUCCUCAAAGCUGGCCCCAGUUCGGAUUGUAGUCUGCAACUCGACUACAUGAAGUCGGAAUUGCUAGUAAUGGCGUGUCAGCUAUAACGCCGCGAAUACGUUCCCGGGCCUUGUACACACCGCCCGUCACAUCAUGGGAGUUGGUUUUGCCUUAAGUCGUUGACUCAACCUGCAAAGGAGAGAGGCGCCCAAGGUGAGGCUGAUGACUGGGAUGAAGUCGUAACAAGGUAGCCCUACCGGAAGGUGGGGCUGGAUCACCUCCUUUUAAGGAUAAGGAUAACUGUCUUAGGACGGUUUGACUAGGUUGGGCAAGCGUUUUUUAAUCUUGUAUUCUAUUUCUUUUGCAUUGUUAAGUGUUGUUUCCAAAACAUUUAGUUUACGAUCAAGUAUGUUAUGUAAAUAAUAUGGUAACAAGUAAAUUCACAUAUAAUAAUAGACGUUUAAGAAUAUAUGUCUUAGGUGAUGUUAACUUGCAUGGAUCAAUAAUUUACAGACCAAGUUAUUAAGAGCUAUUGGUGGAUGCCUUGGCAUUGACAGGCGAUGAAGGAUGCGUUUACCUGCAGUAAUCUUCGGCGAGCUGGUAUAAAGCUAUGACCCGGAGGUCUCCGAAUGGGGCAACCCGGUAGAUUAAUCAUCUACCAUUAUACGUUGAAUACAUAGGCGUAUAAGGCGACACCUGCUGAACUGAAACAUCUUAGUAAGCAGAGGAAAAUAAAUCAAAGAGAUUCCCUAAGUAGCGGCGAGCGAAAGGGGAGAAGACCAAACCACAUUUUUAAUGUGGGGUUGUAGGGUCGAUAACAUGGGAUCUUAAGUUUUAGUUGAAUACUUCUGGAAAGCAGAGCGAUACAGGGUGAUAGUCCCGUAGACGAAAAAACAAGAGACUCUAUUCGAUACCUGAGUAGGGCUAGACACGUGAAACCUAGUCUGAAUCUGGGGAGACCACUCUCCAAGUCUAAAUACUAGUCAAUGACCUAUAGUGAACCAGUACUGUGAAGGAAAGGUGAAAAGAACCCUUGUUAAGGGAGUGAAAUAGAACCUGAAACCAGUAGCUUAUAAGCGGUCGAAGACCUAUAACUUCUUAGGAAGUCAUGGUUGACGGCGUGCCUUUUGCAUGAUGAGCCAGGGAGUUAAGUUAAACGGCGAGGUUAAGGGAUUUACAUUCCGGAGCCGAAGCGAAAGCGAGUUUUAAAAGAGCGUUUAGUCGUUUGAUUUAGACACGAAACCAAGUGAGCUAUUUAUGACCAGGUUGAAGCAUGGGUAAGACCAUGUGGAGGACCGAACCAGUACAUGUUGAAAAAUGUUUGGAUGAGUUGUGAAUAGGGGUGAAAGGCCAAUCAAACUUGGAGAUAUCUUGUUCUCUCCGAAAUAACUUUAGGGUUAGCCUCGGAUAUUAAGCUUUUGGGGGUAGAGCACUGAAUUCUAGCGGGGGCCUACCGGCUUACCAACGGAAAUCAAACUCCGAAUACCAAAAGCGAGUCCGGGAGAUAGACAGCGGGGGCUAAGCUUCGUUGUCGAGAGGGGAACAGCCCAGACCGCCGAUUAAGGUCCCAAAUUUUAUGCUAAGUGAGUAAGGAAGUGAUGAUUCUAAGACAGUUGGAAUGUUGGCUUAGAGGCAGCAAUCAUUUAAAGAGUGCGUAACAGCUCACCAAUCGAGAAUCAUUGCGCCAAUAAUAAUCGGGGCUCAAGCAUAAAACCGAAAUCGCGGGUGUAUAUUUAUAUAUACGCGGUAGGAGAGCGUAGUAUUCAGCAGUGAAGGUAUACCGUAAGGAGUGCUGGAGCGGAUACUAGUGAAGAUCCAUGGCAUAAGUAACGAUAAAGGAAGUGAAAAUCUUCCUCGCCGUAAGCACAAGGUUUCCAGGGUCAAGCUCGUCUUCCCUGGGUUAGUCGGCCCCUAAGUCGAGGCACAAAUGCGUAGACGAUGGAGCAACAGGUUAAAUAUUCCUGUACCACCUAAAACUUUAGCAAUGGAAUGACGGAGUACGUUAAGCACGCGGACGAUUGGAAAUGUCCGUAUCACAAUGAGACCGGUUAGUAGGCAAAUCCGCUAACAUAAGGUUAGGUUGUGGUUAAGGGAAAUCUUCGGAGGAACUGAUAGUGUGGCGCAAGGCUUUCAAGAAAUAAUUUCUAGCUGUUGAUGGUGACCGUACCUAAACCGACACAGGUGUGCGAGAUGAGUAUUCUAAGGCGCGCGAGAUAACUUUCGUUAAGGAACUCGGCAAAUUAUCCCCGUAACUUCGGAAGAAGGGGAGCCUCUUAGGGUGAUUGCCUUUACGGCAUGAGCUCCGGGGGGCCGCAGAGAAAUGGCCCAGGCGACUGUUUAACAAAAACACAGCACUAUGCAAACCUCUAGGGGGAAGUAUAUGGUGUGACGCCUGCCCAAUGCCAAAAGGUUAAAGGGAUAUGUCAGCCGCAAGGUAAAGCAUUGAACCCAAGCCCUGGUGAAUGGCCGCCGUAACUAUAACGGUCCUAAGGUAGCGAAAUUC